GUGCUCACUUCGGCAGCACGUAUACUAAAAUUGGAAUGAGACAGAGAAGAUUAGCAUGGCC
ensembl:snRNA U6 U6 spliceosomal RNA